rnacentral:rRNA from 1 species
AUUGAACGCUGGCGGCAUGCCUUACACAUGCAAGUCGAACGGUAGAGUAGCAAUACUCGAGAGUGGCGAACGGGUGAGUAAUAUAUCGGAACGUGCCCAGUCGUGGGGGAUAACGUAGAGAAAUUUACGCUAAUACCGCAUACGAUCUAAGGAUGAAAGCGGGGGACUCGCAAGGGCCCCGCGCGAUUGGAGCGGCUGAU